AUUGAACGCUGGCGGCAGGCUUAACACAUGCAAGUCGAGCGGGGAAGAGUAGCUUGCUACUUGACCUAGCGGCGGACGGGUGAGUAAUGCUUAGGAAUCUGCCUAUUAGUGGGGGACAACAUCUCGAAAGGGAUGCUAAUACCGCAUACGUCCUACGGGAGAAAGCAGGGGACCUUCGGGCCUUGCGCUAAUAGAUGAGCCUAAGUCGGAUUAGCUAGUUGGUGGGGUAAAGGCCUACCAAGGCGACGAUCUGUAGCGGGUCUGAGAGGAUGAUCCGCCACACUGGGACUGAGACACGGCCCAGACUCCUACGGAAGGCAGCAGUGGGGAAUAUUGGACAAUGGGGGGAACCCUGAUCCAGCCAUGCCGCGUGUGUGAAGAAGGCCUUUUGGUUGUAAAGCACUUUAAGCGAGGAGGAGGCUACCGAGAUUAAUACUCUUGGAUAGUGGACGUUACUCGCAGUAUAAGCACCGGCUAACUCUGUG
rnacentral:rRNA from 1 species